rnacentral:misc_RNA from 1 species
GGAAAUGGCAGAUAAUUGAAAUCGCAUUCUUUUAAUUGUAGUUUACACUGACACACACACACUCUCUCUCUCGCUUUCUCUCUCUCUCUCUCUCUCUCUCNUUGCGGGAAAGUUCAACUGUGCAUUACUUUGCAAUUCAACUGGGCAUAUUACUGUGCGUUCAAAUCCUUGCUUAGCACAUCCAUGGCGGACACAUCACAUGGCCCUUCAAGUUUCUGGAG